rnacentral:rRNA from 1 species
AAACGCUUGAAGUCAGUCGCGUUGUUCAGGAUUCAGCCUUGCUUUUGCUUGGUGUACUUCCUGUUCGACGGGUCAGCAUCAGUUUUGGCCGGUGGAUAAAGGUUCAGGGAAUGUGGCAUCUUCGGAUGUGUUAUAGACCUUGGUCGGAUACAACGGUUGGGAUUGAGGAACUCAGUGUUUACACUUAGGAUGCUGGCAUAAUGGCUUUAAUCGA